AUUCUGGAUAAAUUCCUCAAUCUUCCUCAAGAAUAUUUUACAACAAUGGCAUUUUUGGUUAUAAACAUAGUGUCAUCAUCAAAGAAUUUACAAGAUGCACAUCAUUAUGUUAAAGAUAUCCUUUUAGUGGAACUGAAUGAAAGCUAUUUAAUAUUAGGGAAGAGAAGCCCUUUUUAAUACACUAAGGGAGCAGUUUUCUUCUCACACAUUAUCAUAAAUGAUAUGCAUUAGAUACUUGGGGUCAAAUAAACACUGAUGCCUCCAGUAGACACUGUUGACACUU
rnacentral:lncRNA from 1 species